AUACUCUGGUUUCUCUUCAGAUCGUAUAAAUCUUUUGCCUUUUACUAAAGAUUUCCGUGGAGGGAACCAGCAGUUAGCGUAAUGGCUAUGUCGCUGGACUCCCACGUAGUCGACCGCGGU
rfam:Tupaia chinensis contig184924, whole genome shotgun sequence.